UACGAAGGGGGCUAGCGUUGCUCGGAAUCACUGGGCGUAAAGCGCACGUAGGCGGAUCUUUAAGUCAGGGGUGAAAUCCUGGAGCUCAACUCCAGAACUGCCUUUGAUACUGGGGAUCUCGAGUCCGGAAGAGGUGAGUGGAACUCCGAGUGUAGAGGUGAAAUUCGUAGAUAUCGAGAGGAACACCGGUGGCGAAGGCGGCCAACUGGACAGAUACUGACGCUGAGACACGAAAGCGUGGGGAGCAAACAGG
rnacentral:rRNA from 1 species